rnacentral:rRNA from 1 species
UACGGGGGGGCAAGCGUUGUUCGGAAUUACUGGGCGUAAAGGGCUUGUAGGUGGCCAACUAAGUCAGACGUGAAAUCCCUCGGCUUAACCGGGGAACUGCGUCUGAUACUGGAUGGCUAGAGAUUGGGAGAGGGAUGCGGAAUUCCAGGUGUAGCGGUGAAAUGCGUAGAUAUCUGGAGGAACACCGGUGGCGAAGGCGGCAUCCUGGACCAACACUGACACUGAAAAGCGAAAGCCAGGGGAGCAAACGGG